rnacentral:rRNA from 1 species
AGCGAACGCUGGCGGCGUGCCUAACACAUGCAAGUCGAACGUGAAAGGGAGCAAUCCCAAGUAAAGUGGCGUACGGGUGAGUAACACGUAGGUAAUCUACCCCAGAAUCUGGAAUAACCGGCCGAAAGGCUGGCUAAUACUGGAUAGAGCGACGGAAUCCGUAAUUGGGUUUUUCGGGAAAGGGAGCCUGUAAAAAGGCCUUCGUUCUGGGAUGAGCCUGCGUCCCAUCAGCUAGUUGGUGAGGUAAAAGCUUACCAAGGCAAUGACGGGUAGCUGGUCUGAGAAGACGAUCAGCCACACUGGAACUGAAACACGGUCCAGACUCCUACGGGAGGCAGCAGUGGGGAAUCUUGCGCAAGGGACGAAAGUCUGACGCAACAACGCCGCGUGAGUGAAGAAGGCCAUCGGGUUGUAAAGCUCUGUCGAGUGGGACGAAAAUGCUUGGAGUUCACAGCUCCAGGAACUGACGGUACCACUAAAGGAAGCACCGGCUAACUCCGUG